rnacentral:rRNA from 1 species
UAACACGUAUGUCAAUCUAACCUAUGGACGAGGAUAACCUCGGGAAACUGAGAAUAAUACUCGAUAGAUCAUUAUACCUGGAACGGUUUAUGGUCCAAAUGAUUCGUCGCUAUAGGAUGGGACUGCGGCCUAUCAGCUUGUUGGUGAGGUAAUGGCCCACCAAGGCUAUUACAGGUACGGGCUCUGAGAGGAGAAGCCCGGAGAUGGGUACUGAGACACGGACCCAGGUCCUAUGGGGCGCAGCAGGCGAGAAAACUUUGCAAUGUGCGCAAGCACGACAAGGUUAAUCCGAGUGAUUCCUGCUAAAGGAAUCUUUUGUUAGUUGUAAAACCACUGAUGAAUAAGGGGUGGGCAAGUUCUGGUGUCAGCCGCCGCGGUAAAACCAGCACCUCAAGUGGUCAGGAGGAUUAUUGGGCCUAAAGCAUCCGUAGCCUGCUUUGUAAGUUUUCGGUUAAAUCCAUCAGCUCAACUGAUGGGCCGCCGAAAAAACUGCAAANCUANGGAGUGGGAGAGGUANACGGUACUCGAUAG